rnacentral:rRNA from 1 species
UGCACUUCGGGAUAAGCCUGGGAAACUGGGUCUAAUACCGGAUAUGACCUCCUAUCGCAUGGUGGGUGGUGGAAAGAUUUAUCGGUGCAGGAUGGGCCCGCGGCCUAUCAGCUUGUUGGUGGGGUAAUGGCCUACCAAGGCGACGACGGGUAGCCGACCUGAGAGGGUGACCGGCCAUACUGGGACUGAGACACGGCCCAUAUACAUACGGGAGGCAGCAGUGGGGAAUAUUGCACAAUGGGCGAAAGCCUGAUGCAGCGACGCCGCGUGAGGGAUGACGGCCUUCGGGUUGUAAACCUCUUUCAGCAGGGACGAAGCGCAAGUGACGGUACCUGCAGAAGAAGCACCGGCUAACUACGUGCCAGCAGCCGCGGUAAUACGUAGGGUGCAAGCGUUGUCCGGAAUUACUGGGCGUAAAGAGUUCGUAGGCGGUUUGUCGCGUCGUUUGUGAAAACCAGCAGCUCAACUGCUGGCUUGCAGGCGAUACGGGCAGACUUGAGUACUGCAGGGGAGACUGGAAUUCCUGGUGUAGCGGUGAAAUGCGCAGAUAUCAGGAGGAACACCGGUGGCGAAGGCGGGUCUCUGGGCAGUAACUGACGCUGAG